rnacentral:rRNA from 1 species
UACGGAGGGGGCUAGCGUUGUUCGGAAUUACUGGGCGUAAAGCGCACGUAGGCGGCUUUGUAAGUUAGAGGUGAAAGCCCGGGGCUCAACUCCGGAAUUGCCUUUAAGACUGCAUCGCUAGAAUUGUGGAGAGGUAAGUGGAAUUCCGAGUGUAGAGGUGAAAUUCGUAGAUAUUCGGAAGAACACCAGUGGCGAAGGCGACUGACUGGACAAGUAUUGACGCUGAGGUGCGAAAGCGUGGGGAUCAAACAGG